rnacentral:rRNA from 1 species
UACGUAGGGUGCAAGCGUUAAUCGGAAUUACUGGGCGUAAAGCGUGCGCAGGCGGUGAUGUAAGACAGAUGUGAAAUCCCCGGGCUCAACCUGGGAACUGCAUUUGUGACUGCAUCGCUGGAGUGCGGCAGAGGGGGAUGGAAUUCCACGUGUAGCAGUGAAAUGCGUAGAUAUGUGGAGGAACACCGAUGGCGAAGGCAGCCCCCUGGGUCAAGACUGACGCUCAUGCACGAAAGCGUGGGGAGCAAACAGG